rnacentral:rRNA from 1 species
UCUUGGUCAAUUUAGAGGAAGUAAAAGUCGUAACAAGGUUUCCGUAGGUGAACCUGCGGAAGGAUCAUUAAAGAGUAAGGGUGCUCAGCGCCCGACCUCCAACCCUUUGUUGUUAAAACUACCUUGUUGCUUUGGCGGGACCGCUCGGUCUCGAGCCGCUGGGGAUUCGUCCCAGGCGAGCGCCCGCCAGAGUUAAACCAAACUCUUGUUAUUUAACCGGUCGUCUGAGUUAAAAUUUUGAAUAAAUCAAAACUUUCAACAACGGAUCUCUUGGUUCUCGCAUCGAUGAAGAACGCAGCGAAAUGCGAUAAGUAAUGUGAAUUGCAGAAUUCAGUGAAUCAUCGAAUCUUUGAACGCACAUUGCGCCCCUUGGUAUUCCGAGGGGCAUGCCUGUUCGAGCGUCAUUACACCACUCAAGCUAUGCUUGGUAUUGGGCGUCGUCCUUAGUUGGGCGCGCCUUAAAGACCUCGGCGAGGCCACUCCGGCUUUAGGCGUAGUAGAAUUUAUUCGAACGUCUGUCAAAGGAGAGGAACUCUGCCGACUGAAACCUUUAUUUUUCUAGGUUGACCUCGGAUCAGGUAGGGAUACCCGCUGAACUUAAGCAUAUCAAUAAGCGGAGGA